CCGAGAGAAGGCGACCAUAUCUGCCCCUGGCAUUUCCCUGUUCGUAAGCAGUGACCGCAAGGUAGCAACGAAGUACUCGGACCGGCAGGCGCUGGGUUCCCUGAUCAGGAAGCGCGGCCGGU
rnacentral:ncRNA from 1 species